rnacentral:rRNA from 1 species
CGGGGGGGGGUGCUUUACACAUGCAGUCGAACGAUGAAGCCUUUCGGGGUGGAUUAGUGGCGAACGGGUGAGUAACACGUGGGCAAUCUGCCCUUCACUCUGGGACAAGCCCUGGAAACGGGGUCUAAUACCGGAUAAUACUCUGUUCCGCAUGGGACGGGGUUGAAAGCUCCGGCGGUGAAGGAUGAGCCCGCGGCCUAUCAGCUUGUUGGUGGGGUGAUGGCCUACCAAGGCGACGACGGGUAGCCGGCCUGAGAGGGCGACCGGCCACACUGGGACUGAGACACGGCCCAGACUCCUACGGGAGGCAGCAGUGGGGAAUAUUGCACAAUGGGCGAAAGCCUGAUGCAGCGACGCCGCGUGAGGGAUGACGGCCUUCGGGUUGUAAACCUCUUUCAGCAGGGAAGAAGCGAAAGUGACGGUACCUGCAGAAGAAGCGCCGGCUAACUACGUGCCAGCAGCCGCGGUAAUACGUAGGGCGCAAGCGUUGUCCGGAAUUAUUGGGCGUAAAGAGCUCGUAGGCGGCUUGUCACGUCGGAUGUGAAAGCCCGGGGCUUAACCCCGGGUCUGCAUUCGAUACGGGCUAGCUAGAGUGUGGUAGGGGAGAUCGGAAUUCCUGGUGUAGCGGUGAAAUGCGCAGAUAUCAGGAGGAACACCGGUGGCGAAGGCGGAUCUCUGGGCCAUUACUGACGCUGAGGAGCGAAAGCGUGGGGAGCGAACAGGAUUAGAUACCCUGGUAGUCCACGCCGUAAACGUUGGGAACUAGGUGUUGGCGACAUUCCACGUCGUCGGUGCCGCAGCUAACGCAUUAAGUUCCCCGCCUGGGGAGUACGGCCGCAAGGCUAAAACUCAAGGAAUUGACGGGGGCCCGCACAAGCAGCGGAGCAUGUGGCUUAAUUCGACGCAACGCGAAGAACCUUACCAAGCUUGACAUAUACCGGAAAGCAUCAGAGAUGGUGCCCCCUUGUGUCGGUAUACAGUGGGUGCAUGGCUGUCGUCAGCUCGUGUCUGAGAUGUUGGGUUAAGUCCCGCAACGAGCGCAACCCUUGUUCUGUGGUGCCAGCAUGCCCUUCCGA